rnacentral:rRNA from 29 species
CCUGGCGGCGAUAGCGCGGUGGUCCCACCUGACCCCAUGCCGAACUCAGAAGUGAAACGCCGUAGCGCCGAUGGUAGUGUGGGGCUUCCCCAUGUGAGAGUAGGGAACUGCCAGGC